AAGUUUUUUUAUACGCCCUUUUGGCUUUAGUACAUUAACAAUUUUUUUUUGACAAAUUUUUACGUUUUGAGCAGUUCUAAGUUGAAUGG